UAUGGAGGGUGCAAACGUUGCUCGGAAUCAUUGGGCGUAAAGCGCACGUAGGCGGCUCGUUAAGUCGGAUGUGAAAGCCCUCGGCUCAACCGAGGAAGUGCAUACGAAACUGGCGAGCUUGAAUAUGGAAGAGGGUCGCGGAAUUCCCGGUGGUAGAGGUGAAAUUCGUAGAUAUCGGGAGGAACACCAGUGGCGAAGGCGGCGACCUGGGCCAAUAUUGACGCUGAGGUGCGAAAGCGUGGGGAGCAAACAGG
rnacentral:rRNA from 1 species